AUUGAACGCUGGCGGCAGGCCUAACACAUGCAAGUCGAACGGUAGCACAGAGAGCUUGCUCUCGGGUGACGAGUGGCGGACGGGUGAGUAACGUCUGGGAAACUGCCCGAUGGAGGGGGAUAACUACUGGAAACGGUAGCUAAUACCGCAUAACGUCGCAAGACCAAAGUGGGGGACCUUCGGGCCUCACACCAUCGGAUGUGCCCAGAUGGGAUUAGCUAGUAGGUGGGGUAAUGGCUCACCUAGGCGACGAUCCCUAGCUGGUCUGAGAGGAUGACCAGCCACACUGGAACUGAGACACGGUCCAGACUCCUACGGGAGGCAGCAGUGGGGAAUAUUGCACAAUGGGCGCAAGCCUGAUGCAGCCAUGCCGCGUGUAUGAAGAAGGCCUUCGGGUUGUAAAGUACUUUCAGCGGGGAGGAAGGCGGUGAAGUUAAUAACUUCACCGAUUGACGUUACCCGCAGAAGAAGCCACGGCUAACUCUGUGCCAGCCGCCGCAGUAA
rnacentral:rRNA from 1 species